rnacentral:rRNA from 1 species
UAUUGGACAAUGGGGGGAACCCUGAUCCAGCGACGCCGCGUGAGUGAGGAAGUAUCUCGGUAUGUAAAGCUCUAUCAGCAGGGAAGAAAGAAAUGACGGUACCUGAGUAAGAAGCCCCGGCUAACUACGUGCCAGCAGCCGCGGUAAUACGUAGGGGGCAAGCGUUAUCCGGAAUUACUGGGUGUAAAGGGAGCGUAGACGGUUAUGCAAGUCUGGAGUGAAAGGCGGGGGCUCAACCCCCGGACUGCACUGGAAACUGUAGAACUAGAGUGCAGGAGGGGUAAGUGGAAUUCCUAGUGUAGCGGUGAAAUGCGUAGAUAUUAGGAGGAACACCAGUGGCGAAGGCGGCUUACUGGACUGUAACUGACGUUGAGGCUCGAAAGCGUGGGGAGCAAACAGG